GAUGAACGCUGGCGGCGUGCCUAAUACAUGCAAGUCGAGCGAACGGACGAGAAGCUUGCUUCUCUGAUGUUAGCGGCGGACGGGUGAGUAACACGUGGAUAACCUACCUAUAAGACUGGGAUAACUUCGGGAAACCGGAGCUAAUACCGGAUAAUAUUUUGAACCGCAUGGUUCAAAAGUGAAAGACGGUCUUGCUGUCACUUAUAGAUGGAUCCGCGCUGCAUUAGCUAGUUGGUAAGGUAACGGCUUACCAAGGCAACGAUGCAUAGCCGACCUGAGAGAGUGAUCGGCCACACUAGAACUGAGACACGGUCCAGACUCCUACGGGAGGCAGCAGUAGGGAAUCUUCCGCAAUGGGCGAAAGCCUGACGGAGCAACGCCGCGUGAGUGAUGAAGGUCUUCGGAUCGUAAAACUCUGUUAUUAGGGAAGAACAUAUGUGUAAGUAACUGUGCACAUCUUGACGGUACCUAAUCAGAAAGCCACGGCUAACUACGUG
rnacentral:rRNA from 1 species